rnacentral:misc_RNA from 1 species
GUGUCCGGCGCAACCGCAUUGAGCUCGUCGAUGGUCGGCAAUCGCUUUUCGACGAACUGAUGCUCCGUGAAACCGCCGACAACGCGGACCCACUGCGGCGGCGGCGUAAUCGCCCCCUGCCGCUUCAGNNNNNNGCGAGCGAGCGCACGCCAUCCCAGCGCAGCUCCAUGUUGAAGUUCAGCCCGCCGCGGAUGAUGUGCAGGUGAUUGUCGAUCAGGCCCGGCAACACGCGACGGCCCUUGAGGUCAAUCACGCGG